UACGUAGGGUGCAAGCGUUAUCCGGAAUUAUUGGGCGUAAAGAGCUCGUAGGCGGUUUGUCGCGUCUGCUGUGAAAACCCGAGGCUCAACCUCGGGCCUGCAGUGGGUACGGGCAGACUAGAGUGCGGUAGGGGAGACUGGAAUUCCUGGUGUAGCGGUGAAAUGCGCAGAUAUCAGGAGGAACACCGAUGGCGAAGGCAGUUCUCUGGGCCGUAACUGACGA
rnacentral:rRNA from 1 species